UGCCAGCCGCCGCGGUAAUACGGAGGGGGCGAGCGUUGUUCGGAUUUACUGGGCGUAAAGGGUCCGUAGGUGGUUUUAUAAGUUAGGUGUGAAAGCCCGGAGCUCAACUCCGGAACUGCACUUAAAACUGUAAGACUAGAAUCAUGGAGAGGAUAGUAGAAUUUCCAGUGUAGAGGUGAAGUUCGUAGAUAUUAGAAAGAAUACCAAUUGCGAAGGCAGCUUUCUGGAUCAUUACUGACACUGAGGAACGAAAGCAUGGGUAGCGAAGAGGAUUAGAUA
rnacentral:rRNA from 1 species